AAUUGCUAUGCCAAGGUUAUGGCAAGCAAGACAAAGAUCUACAUUGUGCUCGAGUAUGUUGGCGGGGCGAGCUUUUUGACAAAAUAGCCAAACUAGGAAGACUUAAAGAGGAUGAAGCUAGGAGAUAUUUUCAGCAGCUCAUCAAUGCUGUAGACUACUGCCACAGUAGAGGCAUGUACCAUAGAGACUUAAAGCCCGAGAAUCUGCUUCUAGACUCAUUUGGUGUUCUCUAGGUUUCAGACUUUGGAUUGAGUGCAUUUUCCCAGCAAAUGCGGGUAAGUAUUAUGUGAGUUUGCGACAAUUUCCUCAUCUAAGAGCAGAUUUUUAGUAGGUGGGUGUUAAUAAAUUGAAUGUUAAAUUUUUAAAAGUGGUUGCAGCACUGAGUCAAUUUUGCAGUCUAUUUGGUUUACUAAAAUCACCUAGUCCAGAAACUACCUUUCCGGCCAGGAGUAAUGCCCUGCUCUGAAAGGAAUUCCUUAGGAAUAAUGUGGCCAUUAGUUUUUCUUCUGUCCUUCAGUGGCUUGUUCAUUUCUUGUUUCUAUUAAUUUGGAAAUGAACUUUUUUUUUAUGAUUUGUGUCUUUCCUUUCCCUCUUUUUAUAUUAGUUUCCCCAAAUCAAGGAGGCAGUUUAGUUUUAUUAGUUGACUUCUUCAUAAGAUUUUGUAUCAUGCAUCAUCUAGAUUUCAAUACUUUGAAA